CAGCCGCCGCGGGAAUACGAAGGGGGCUAGCGUUGUUCGGAAUUACUGGGCGUAAAGCGCACGUAGGCGGAUAUUUAAGUCAGGGGUGAAAUCCCAGAGCUCAACUCUGGAACUGCCUUUGAUACUGGGUAUCUUGAGUAUGGAAGAGGUAAGUGGAAUUGCGAGUGUAGAGGUGAAAUUUGUAGAUAUUCGCAGGAACACCAGUGGCGAAGGCGGCUUACUGGUCCAUUACUGACGCUGAGGUGCGAAAGCGUGGGGAGCAAACAGGAUUAGAUACCCCCGUAGUCCCUGUCUCUUAUAC
rnacentral:rRNA from 1 species